rnacentral:rRNA from 1 species
UUCGGUUGAUCCCGCCGGACCUGACUGCUAUCGGAUUGGUACUAAGCCAUGCGAGUCGUUGUACAAUACAAGGCGAACUGCUCAGUAACACGUAGUUAACCUAACCUAUGGAUGGGGAUAACCUCGGGAAACUGAGAAUAAUACCCAAUAGAUCACAGUGCCUGGAAUGGCCUGUGAUUGAAAUGAUUUAUCGCUGUAGGAUGGGACUGCGGCCUAUCAGCUUGUUGGUGAGGUAAUGGCCCACCAAGGCUAUAACAGGUACGGGCUCUGAGAGGAGGGGCCCCCCNNGGAAGCAAUUGNGGUACUGAGACACGGACCCAGGCCCUAUGGGGCGCAGCAGGCGAGAAACCUUUGCAAUGUGCGAAAGCACGACAAGGUUAAUCCGAGUGUCUCCUGCUAAAGGAGUCUUUUGUCAGUUGUAGAAUCACUGGUGAAUAAGGGGUGGGCAAGUUCUGGUGUCAGCCGCCGCGGUAAAACCAGCACCUCGAGUGGUCAGGAGGUUUAUUGGGCCUAAAGCAUCCGUAGCCGGUUGCAUAAGUUUUCGGUUAAAUCUAUGCGCUCAACGUAUAGGCCGNCGAAAAUACUGUGCAGCUAGGGAGUGGGAGAGGUACCCGGUACUCAAUAGGAAGGGGUACCAUCCUUUGAUCUUUUGAUGACCCCUGUGGCGAAGGCGGGUACAGAACACGUCGACGGGAGGUUGAAGCUGGGGAGCAACGAUUUGUACCGGGUGUCCCGUGUUACGAUGGACCCGGGUGCUUGUUGUGGCGUGCUUGCGAGGACCCGGAAUUUCGCUGGAAUCU